UACAGAGGUCCCAAGCGUUGUUCGGAUGCACUGGGCGGAAAGGGUGCGUAGGCGGUCGGGUAAGUCUGAUGUGAAAUCUCCAAGCUCAACUUGGAAAUGGCAUCGGAUACUAUUCGGCUCGAGGAAUGGAGGGGAGACUGGAAUACUUGGUGUAGCAGUGAAAUGCGUAGAUAUCAAGUGGAACACCAGUGGCGAAGGCGAGUCUCUGGACAUUUCCUGACGCUGAGGCACGAAAGCCAGGGGAGCAGACGGG
rnacentral:rRNA from 1 species